rnacentral:rRNA from 1 species
CGAACGGGUGAGUAACGCGUGAGGAACCUGCCUCAAAGAGGGGGACAACAGUUGGAAACGACUGCUAAUACCGCAUAAGCCCACGGCUCGGCAUCGAGCAGAGGGAAAAGGAGCAAUCCGCUUUGAGAUGGCCUCGCGUCCGAUUAGCUAGUUGGUGAGGUAACGGCCCACCAAGGCGACGAUCGGUAGCCGGACUGAGAGGUUGUACGGCCACAUUGGGACUGAGACACGGCCCAG